rnacentral:lncRNA from 1 species
UUCCAACCAGCUUUUUGAGGAAUAUUCUCAGCAUCUUGGCUAUCCCUAUCCUUUCGUGCCUCUAAACCAAACGGGUGGCAUCCCUCAGAAAAUUGGCUAUCCCUUUCCAACCAACCAAGGGAUAACGGAUGAACCAAACGCCACCUAAAUGGAUAAGGGAGAGUAGCCAGGAAGCGAUGCCCCAGCCGCAUGAUCCCCAAUUCACACGACCAGCACAUGCCCCCACGGCCGGUCGGGCGAGGAGCUUCCGCUGCGCUCUUCCUCGUCGGAGGAGCCGCCGGGGAGGCUGGUGCCAGGCGUGACGCCAUUGGAGAGGCUGCUCGCGAACCCGAGCACGGUCGGGCUCCAUGUGCCAGCGCGAGCGGAGUGCGUGCUUGAAGACGAGGGCACCGCGCGCCAGCAGUAUCUCGCUGGCGCCUGAAGGUGUCGGUGCCGACCGCCGCAGGCGCGCGUGGAGACGGGCUGGGCACCGCCGAGACGUGAGCAUUCGUGGCCAUUGGUCGCCGCUUCCGUCGGCCGCCGGAAGUUCAGUCGCGCAGGGGCCGAGCCGCGCGCAGCCGCCGCGGAUGCCUUAGGCGGUCGUGCCACAGGGCCGCGGGAAGCCGCGCUAGUGGAGCCGCUGCGUCGCGGCCGGUCCGCUGAUGCGUCAUGUGCUCGAGGCCUCCUUGCUGGUGCAUGGCUGAGGGCAGGCGACUGGCGAGAGCCCAAGGUACUAAUCAUGAUAGCGAGCAUGUAUAUACAAUAUUAUAUAUAGGAAAAGAAGCACCUUAAUCAUGCAGCAAUUAGAUCAAUUCUUUGGUGUCUGCGUGAUGGGCACAGUUAGAAUGCUGUCCAGGGUAAUUGAUUUGCCCAUCGGACUUGUUCUUGUUGAUCUUGUGCCGUCACCGAUUAUUUCUUCUCCUUCUAUCCAAAAAUUUCUUCCGGUUCCUGUUUCCGCGGAGAUCAAUCGAUCUGGACAUGCUCACAAGCGAUUCCUUAUGCAUAAUUGAGAAUCAGUUAUUAGAUCACAGGAAGACAGAAUUAUAUAGAUCUCCUGAUCGAUGAAGUUCUCCUAUGUAGGGUGGAUUUGGAUGGGAUAUCAACCCGGCCGGGUUUAACCGAAGACGCAUAUAAGGUAGGUCGGGAUCCAACCCCGACCGGGGUCAAAAGCACGUGGAUUAGGCCAAAACCCCGCCGAUCCCGGCGGGGGCGGGGAUUAAACGAACAAAGCCUCUGAUUUUUGCGUGGGUUGGGGGCGGCGCCGGCGAGGGUUUCCAGAACAAACGAGGUGAUGCAAGAGGGUUGAAUAGUUGUGGUGGAGCCGGUGCCCCGCUGACCGUCGGGCUCAGGCGCUCAGCCGUCGACCCCCAACCUGGACCCAUUAUCUGAUCCGUGGCCCAGACGAAAAAAGUCACGUCCUGGUCCACGACCCACUACGACGCGCGCUAGAGUCCUUCACGCCGUUGCGCUUCGGGCCCAGUCCUUCGCAACUGUUUCGUACCGUAUUCCCCGGCGCCAACGAUUUACCACAUCUCGAUUCUGACACGGCAGCUGGAUUUGUUCACAUCCCCAGCAUGGAACGGACGAGCAGGAUUUCGGGCUCAGCUGAGCCCGAGCACCAAAUCGCCGCGUCCUUCCAAUUUAGCUACCUACUGUACAUUUCAUAUGAUUUAACCUAGUUUUUCGUUCAUGUAAUUGUCUUUAGUUUCUAUAAGUUGUAAAUAUAUCCACUGCAUCUAUGCCCUAAUAUUACCAUUAUAAAAUUCUCAGAUACAUCAAUAGAAUAGAUAGGCAAAAUAUUAUUUUGUUCAGUUGUUAUAUAAAAGUUGGAAAACUUUUAUUCAUUGCUUUAUUAUAGGGCCCAUAUAGUAAACAGAUAAAGAGUGUGCCACCUCUGACUCGACUGGUAAUAGUAUGAGAAUAUAAAGAACGGCUUGCAACAUUUUAUUUUAUUUUAUUGACAAAGGAGAAACACCCACGGGCUUAAAGUAAGCGAACUCAAAAUCACAAUUCAUAAGUUACAGUGUUACACCUCGCUACAGAAGCAAAACUGGCUAGCUACCAUGUUUUUCCAGAUUAUAACCAUCAAAUAGAACGCCAGCCCAACACAC